rnacentral:rRNA from 1 species
UGGGGAAUAUUGGGCAAUGGGCGAAAGCCUGACCCAGCAACGCCGCGUGAGGGAAGAAGGUUUUCGGAUUGUAAACCUCUGUCCAUGGGGACGAAAAAAAUGACGGUACCCAAGGAGGAAGCCCCGGCUAACUACGUGCCAGCAGCCGCGGUAAUACGUAGGGGGCGAGCGUUGUCCGGAAUUACUGGGCGUAAAGGGUGCGUAGGCGGUUUUUUAAGUCAGAUGUGAAAUCCCCGGGCUUAACUCGGGUGGUGCAUUUGAAACUGGGAGGCUAGAGUGCAGGGAGGGAAGCGGAAUUCCUAGUGUAGCGGUGAAAUGCGUAGAUAUUAGGAGGAACACCAGUGGCGAAGGCGGCUUUCUGGACUGUAACUGACGCUGAGGCACGAAAGCGUGGGGAGCAAACAG